GCAUAAUCUGCAUCAGUGUAUGCAAUUAGUU
rfam:Helianthus annuus linkage group 5, whole genome shotgun sequence.